AAAUGCCUCACCCUAUAUCCCCUGAUGGGGAAGGAAAUGGAUUAGGGCUUUGGAGGAGGAGAAUGUGGGACGAUUAUUGGCCAUGAAAGAUUUGAAGGCACCAUUGGUAAAAGUAGUGGGAACCACUAAGUGUCAGAUAAAGAUGAUGUAAAUUGUUACAACUGGGCCGACAAAAGACUACAAACAUGGCCGCCGCUCACAAACUUACCGGCUACAGCGCCAUCUUCUGGUUGGAUGCCGUCAUGACCGAGGGUAUGCAGGCCCCUCAGCAAAUGUUACCCACUUAAGGUGAACCCCAAGGAACAAAGGGGAAUGAAAAGGUGGAGAGUUGAAAAUGAACAAGAAAAAGAAGGCAUGUGGACAUUAUAUUAUGAACUAUUGUGGUGGAAGUCAUUCUUCUUAAAGUCAAGCAGAAUUGAAGGAGGUGGUGGGAUUGUCAUUUAUUUCCAACCCCCGAUUCAGCAAACAGUUGGUCUCUGCGGUCAAUGUCAAUGAACAAGGCCCCUGGUUGAAAAGACUGAAAUAAGUGAUGAACUGACACAAGUGAGUCCUAUGAGGGAACCAAGCGGGGCCAGAGAAUUACAUGCCAAUAAUACAUGUCUUGGGGAACUUUUCCUCAAAGUCCUAUCAGGAGUGAAAUUAAUCUGGAGAUUAUAAGCCCUAACUGGACUGGGGUCCCCAAGAGAGAGAAAGGGAUUUAAGGAAGGAUGUCAAGAAAGGCCAGGAUGAGAAUUAAAAACCAAGGAGCUGUUGGCACAGAGUCCCCAUCUCGACUUGCCAAUCCAUUCUGUGAAAGCAGAGAACUGGGAUCUUGUAAAAUCAUGGAAGGAAGAAAAGCUGCAACCAAAGUGGACUGGACCCUACCUUGCGUUAUUAAUCACCGAGACAGCAGUACGAACAAAAGAAAAAGGGUGGACACACGCAAACCGAUUUAAGGGUCCUGUGGAGGCCCCACCGGACAAUAUCAGCCCGUAGACUGUGCGUGAAGGGAAGGAACCAUUGACUUUGUGCCUAUUCGGAUGUUGUAUUAUUCCCUGCGCUGGCCUUCAGAACACAGUAUGACUAGCGAGAGGAGGAUAGGGAGGCGAAGAAUCUGCUGCUAGCACUAGAAAAGGAAGAUAUAGUAUAAUUCAAAAGAUGCGUAGCAAAAAGAAAAAUGGUGGAUUGUGAGAGAAGGGUUAAUAGGGAUGAUUGAAUUAUACUAGAACU